rnacentral:rRNA from 1 species
AUUGAACGCUGGCGGCAGGCCUAACACAUGCAAGUCGAGCGAGCGGCGGACGGGUGAGUAAUAUCUGGGAAACUGCCUGAUGUAGGGGGAGAACUACUGGAAACGGUAGCUAAUACCGCAUACCCUCAGAUGUGCCCAGAUGGGAUUAGCUAGUAGGUGGGGUAACGGCGCACGUAGGGGACGAUCCCCAGCUCGUCUGAGAGGAUGACCAGCCACACUGGAACUGAGACACGGUCCAGACUCCUACGUGAGGCAGCAGUGGGGAAUAUUGCACAAUGGGCGCAAGCCUGAUGCAGCCAUGCCGCGUGUAUGAAGAAGGCCUUCGGGUUGUAAAGUACUUUCAGCGGGGAGGCGUUACCCGCAGAAGAAGCACCGGCUAACUCCGUGCCAGCCGCCGCGGUAAUUC